rnacentral:rRNA from 1 species
UACGUAGGGUGCAGGCGUUAAUCGGAAUUACUGGGCGUAAAGCGUGCGCAGGCGGUUUGCUAAGACAGGUGUGAAAUCCCCGGGCUUAACCUGGGAACUGCGCUUGUUACUGGCAGGCUUGAGUGUGGCAGAGGGGGGUGGAAUUCCACGUGUAGCAGUGAAAUGCGUAGAGAUGUGGAGGAACACCGAUGGCGAAGGCAGCCCCCUGGGCUGAGAUUGACGCUCAGGCACGAAAGCGUGGGGAGCAAACAGG